CAGCAGCCACGGUAAUACGAAGGGAGCUAGCGUUGCUCGGAAUCACUGGGCGUAAAGGGUGCGUAGGCGGGUUUUUAAGUCAGGGGUGAAAUCCUGGAGCUCAACUCCAGAACUGCCUUUGAUACUGAAGAUCUUGAGUUCGGGAGAGGUGAGUGGAACUGCGAGUGUAGAGGUGAAAUUCGUAGAUAUUCGGAGGAACACCAGUGGCGAAGGCGGCUCACUGGUCCAUUACUGACGCUGAGGUGCGAAAGCGUGGGGAGCAAACAGGAUUAGAUACCCCUGUAGUCCCUGUCUCUUAUAA
rnacentral:rRNA from 1 species